UGGUCAUUACCAAGGCUAUUAGAAGCACAGUUUCUGAUUUGCUGUGGACAUGACCGUAGAAUAACUCUCUCGGUUUUAAAUGGCUAUAUUAUUAGCACAAACCUGGAGAGACAUGC